GAUGAACGCUGGCGGCGUGCCUAAUACAUGCAAGUCGAGCGAACGGACGAGAAGCUUGCUUCUCUGAUGUUAGCGGCGGACGGGUGAGUAACACGUGGAUAACCUACCUAUAAGACUGGGAUAACUUCGGGAAACCGUAGCUAAUACCGGAUAAUAUUUUGAACCGCAUGGUUCAAAAGUGAAAGACGGUCUUGCUGUCACUUAUAGAUGGAUCCGCGCUGCAUUAGCUAGUUGGUAAGGUAACGGCUUACCAGGGCAACGAUGCAUAGCCGACGUGAGAGGGUGAUCGGCCACACUGGAGCGGGAACACGGUCCAUACUCCUGCGAGAGGCAGCAGAAUGCAAUCGGCGGCAGUGGUCGAAAGCCUUGCGGAGCAAGGGCGCGUGUGUUGUGAAGAUGUUGGGAGCGGAAAGCUCGGUUAUGAGGUAAAAACAUAUUUGUAAUUAGCUGAGCACAGCUUGACGGUAAUGGGUCAGGAAGCCACGGCUAACUACGUG
rnacentral:rRNA from 1 species